rnacentral:rRNA from 1 species
GACGAAGGGGGCUAGCGUUGUUCGGAAUUACUGGGCGUAAAGCGCGUGUAGGCUGCUCGGAAAGUCGGGUGUGAAACCCCGGGGCUCAACCCCGGAACUGCAUCCGAUACUGCGUGGCUAGAGGUAGGUAGGGGAGAUCGGAAUUCCUGGUGUAGCGGUGAAAUGCGCAGAUAUCAGGAGGAACACCGGUGGCGAAGGCGGAUCUCUGGGCCUUACCUGACGCUCAGGCACGAAAGCUAGGGGAGCGAACAGG